UAAAAAGUUUAAUCCACCCUUAUCCCCUAAACACAAAAAAAGAUUGGCGGGAACAUUAAUUUCCAUCUUAAUAAGGAGAGGGAACUAGUAUUUCCACUCCAAGGUGGAACAAUUAAGCUUGGAUAACCUAGCUUGUUCCACCCGUGAAGAGAGAGAGAGAGAGAAUAUUUAAUUUAUUAUAAAAUUUAAAUUUCAUAAGUUCAAAAGUUAAAAUUUAUAUAAUUUUUAAAAUUACAAAAUUAAAAAUUUAAAUUCUAAAUUGUUUAAUUUUAAAAUUUUAAAUUUGUUUAUAUUUAGAAUUUGAUAUUUUGUAUUUUUAAAUUAAAAUUUCAUAUUAAAUUUAAAGUUUAAAAUUUUAUAUUUUAAAUUUUAAAAUAUAAAUAUAAAAUAUAAAAAUUCAAAUUCUGGUAUAAAGAAAGGGAUAAUAUCAUUAUUUUUUACUCAUAAGUUAUAACUAUCUACUUUAAUUCUUUUCUCAUCUUACCUAAGCAAAUGCUAUUUUCUUUUAUUCCUAAAAAUAACUCAAUUUUUCAAUUAAAUGCAAAAUUGAUUUAAUCUUUUCUUAUACUUCAAUUUAUACAUAUUUCUGGAAUAGCCAUUUUUCGCUUAUCACUGACCAGGUUGGAAUUAAUUGAGUAAAGUUGAUUUACGUGUUACAGUAACAAUCAAUAAAGAGUUACUUAUUUG
rnacentral:lncRNA from 1 species